AGGUCGGGAGGUAGAGGUGGCAGUGGGCGUGCAGGAGAAGCUGUAGGUCAGGAGGUAGAGGUGGCAGUGGGCGUGCAGGAGAAGCUGUAGGUCAGGAGGUAGAGGUGGCAGUGGGCGUGCAGGAGAAGCUGUAGGUCAGGAGGUAGAGUUGGCAGUGGGCGUGCAGGAGAAGCUGUAGGUCGGAGAGGUAGAGGUGGCAGUGGGCGUGCAGGAGAAGCUGUAGGUCGGGGGGUAGAGGUGGCAGUGGGCGUGCAGGAGAAGCUGUAGGUCGGGGGGUAGAGGUGGCAGUGGGCGUGCAGGAGAAGCUGUAGGUCGGGAGGUAGAGGUGGCAGUGGGCGUGCAGGAGAAGCUGUAGGUCAGGGGGUAGAGGUGGCAGUGGGCGUGCAGGAGAAGCUGUAGGUCGGAGAGGUAGAGGUGGCAGUGGGCGUGCAGGAGAAGCUGUAGGUCGGGGGGUAGAGGUGGCAGUGGGCGUGCAGGAGAACCUGUAGGUCAGAGUGGAGA